CGGGUGAGUAAUGUAUGGGGAUCUGCCUGAUGGCGGAGGAUAACUACUGGAAACGGUAGCUAAUACCGCAUAAUGUCUACGGACCAAAGCGGGGGACCUCCGGGCCUCGCGCCAUCAGAUGAACCCAUAUGGGAUUAGCUAGUAGGUAAGGUAACGGCUUACCUAGGCGACGAUCCCUAGCUGGUCUGAGAGGAUGAUCAGCCACACUGGGACUGAGACACGGCCCAG
rnacentral:rRNA from 1 species